UACGUAGGGUGCAAGCGUUGUCCGGAAUUAUUGGGCGUAAAGAGCUCGUAGGCGGUCUGUCGCGUCUGCUGUGAAAACUCAGGGCUUAACCCUGAGCUUGCAGUGGGUACGGGCAGACUAGAGUGCGGUAGGGGAGACUGGAAUUCCUGGUGUAGCGGUGAAUGCGCAGAUAUCAGGAGGAACACCGGUGGCGAAGGCGGGUCUCUGGGCCGUAACUGACGCUGGAGGAG
rnacentral:rRNA from 1 species